ACACAAAUAUUACCUGGCUUAUAUCCCACCCACAUGGUGGAGUGAGCUAAAUGUAUGAGAAACAAAUCACUGAGCUUUUCAUGCUGGUCUGGGUUAGACAUAGCUGGCCAUGCAUGGAUGAAUCAGUGUGCCUUUUGAGUACAGUUCCUGCCCCAAGAGAAGGGCUCAACAACUUCCUAUCUCUGUCACUCACAAGUCAUCAGAUAAUGAGCCCAAACAGUGUUAACAUAGUUUCCCCACAUGGAAAUACUUGCCCCAGGCCUUUGUCACUUCAUAGGCCUAUGUCCAGGGCAAAAAUUAAGUGUCAAGAGUCCAUCAGCUCUGAAGACAAUAGAUGGGCUUCAGGAUCUAGAAUCCUCAAGCAAGAACAGAUCACUAGAGCAGGAUCUUUCAGAGUCUACUUGCAAGCUUCGACACAAGAAGUUGUACAUGCUGCAGAUUCCCCAUCUCCUGUAUCAUGGCAAGUGGAAAGGUCUAGAAUAUCAGAGUGACAGAAGGAAGAGACUGCUAAACGGGCUUGUUCCACAGAAUGACCCCUGUAUGAGAUCCAUGGGGCUUCGUGAUCCUUGGCUUUACAUUUGAAGACCCAGUAGGUGGCUCCCCGAUUCCUUACAGUUUUAGAGUGUGAGAAGACACUGUUCACACCUUAAAACAUGGAGAGACUUGUGAGAGGGCAGGCGUUGGCAAAAAGAAGCCACCAUAUAUAGCUGUGGUAAUAUAAUGGUUGCAGCAGUAGCAGCUUUUCAGCAAACACCGAUCAUUGCUGCCUUGUAUGCUUAGACUACCGAAGCUCCACAAAGGGCUUUCACUUUAGAAAUAAGAGCAAGAAAGCUAGUUUUCAGGAAGAAUCUUCCUCUUUCGAAUCAAAGUGAAGAUCAAUGAUAAAAAGGCACAAAAGCAACUGUGUAUAUAUUAUCAAUAGUAUCGAACCGUAGCUAUUCAAUUUAUAGAUAACUGUGGUCUGGAAAGAACUGUGUAUAACAAUUUCUCACUGCCUUCAUCAAAGGGGUCCAA
rnacentral:lncRNA from 1 species